rnacentral:rRNA from 1 species
CAGCAGCCGCGGGAAUACAGAGGGUGCGAGCGUUAAUCGGAUUUACUGGGCGUAAAGCGUGCGUAGGCGGCUUCUUAAGUCGGAUGUGAAAUCCCUGAGCUUAACUUAGGAAUUGCAUUCGAUACUGGGAAGCUAGAGUAUGGGAGAGGAUGGUAGAAUUCCAGGUGUAGCGGUGAAAUGCGUAGAGAUCUGGAGGAAUACCGAUGGCGAAGGCAGCCAUCUGGCCUAAUACUGACGCUGAGGUGCGAAAGCGUGGGGAGCAAACAGGAUUAGAUACCCGAGUAGUCCCUGUCUCUUAUAC